GGAGAAAAGGGUAGCAAUAUCCUGAGUAAACCGGCGAACGGGUGAGUAACACGUUAGGCAACCUACCUCGCGAACGGGAAUAACCCCGGGAAACCGGGACUAAUGCCCGAUGAAGUUUUGCGGUGGCAUCACCGCAAUAUCAAAGGUUUCGGUGCAAAUCGAAAUGUCACGAGAUGGGCCUGCGUCCCAUUAGAUAGUUGGCGGGGUAACGGCCCACCAAGUCAACGAUGGGUAGCUGGUCUGAGAGGACGAUCAGCCACACUGGAGCUGCGACACGGUCCAGACUUCUACGGAAGGCAGCAGUGAGGAAUAUUGCUCAAUGGGCGAAAGCCUGAAGCAGCGACGCCGCGUGAAGGACGAAAUCCGUUAGGAAGUAAACUUCUUUUACAGGGGAAGAAUGUUCCGACUCGUCGGAAUUGACGGUACCCUGUGAAUAAGCACCGGCCAACUACGUGCCAGCAGCCGCGGUAAUACGUAGGGUGCAAGCGUUGUCCGGAAUUACUGGGUGUAAAGGGUCCGCAGGCGGCGAGCAAGUCGGUGGUGAAAGUCUUUGGCUCAACCAAAGAAUUGCCUUCGAUACUGCUCGUCUUGAGUUCGAGAGAGGAUAAUGGAAUUCAUGGUGUAGCGGUGAAAUGCGUAGAGAUCAUGAAGAACACCAGUAGCGAAGGCG
rnacentral:rRNA from 1 species